CCUACGGGUGACAGCAGUGAGGAAUAUUGGUCAAUGGACGAGAGUCUGAACCAGCCAAGUAGCGUGAAGGAUGACUGCCCUAUGGGUUGUAAACUUCUUUUAUAUGGGAAUAAAACGUUCCACGUGUGGGAUUUUGUAUGUACCAUAUGAAUAAGGAUCGGCUAACUCCGUGCCAGCAGCCGCGGUAAUACGGAGGAUCCGAGCGUUAUCCGGAUUUAUUGGGUUCAAAGGGAGCGUAGGUGGAUUGUUAAGUCAGUUGUGAAAGUUUGCGGCUCAACCGUAAAAUUGCAGUUGAAACUGGCAGUCUUGAGUACAGUAGAGGUGGGCGGAAUUCGUGGUGUAGCGGUGAAAUGCUUAGAUAUCACGAAGAACUCCGAUUGCGAAGGCAGUUCACUGGACUGCAACUGACACUGAGGCUCGAAAGUGUGGGUAUCAAACAGGAUUAGAUACCCCUGUAGUC
rnacentral:rRNA from 1 species